rnacentral:tRNA from 1 species
ACUUAAGUAGUUUAAUAGUAAAAAUUUUGAUUUGUGGUGUCAGAGAUACGAGGGGAUAAAAUUCGUCUUAGGUC